rnacentral:rRNA from 1 species
AGAGUUUGAUCCUGGCUCAGGAUGAAUGCUGGCGGCGUGCUUAACACAUGCAAGUCGAACGAAGAUGAUUAGAAUGAGAGCUUCGGCAGGAUUUCUUCUCAUCUUAGUGGCGGACGGGUGAGUAACGUGUGGGCAACCUGCCCUAUACUGGGGAAUAAUCACUGGAAACGGUGACUAAUACCGCAUGUCAUCACGGAAGGGCAUCCUUCUGUGAGAAAAGGAGUAAUUCGGUAUAGGAUGGGCCCGCAUCUGAUUAGCUAGUUGGUGAGAUAACAGCCCACCAAGGCGACGAUCAGUAGCCGACCUGAGAGGGUGAUCGGCCACAUUGGGACUGAGACACGGCCCAAACUCCUACGGGAGGCAGCAGUGGGGAAUAUUGCACAAUGGGGGAAACCCUGAUGCAGCAACGCCGCGUGAAGGAUGAAGGUUUUCGGAUCGUAAACUUCUAUCAAUAGGGACGAAACAAAUGACGGUACCUAAAUAAGAAGCCCCGGCUAACUACGUGCCAGCAGCCGCGGUAAUACGUAGGGGGCAAGCGUUAUCCGGAAUUACUGGGUGUAAAGGGAGCGUAGGCGGCAUGUCAAGCCAGAUGUGAAAGCCCGGGGCUUAACCCCGUGGAUUGCAUUUGGAACUGGCAAGCUAGAGUACAGGAGAGGAAAGCGGAAUUCCUAGUGUAGCGGUGAAAUGCGUAGAUAUUAGGAGGAACACCGGUGGCGAAGGCGGCUUACUGGACUGUAACUGACGUUGAGGCUCGAAAGCGUGGGGAGCAAACAGGAUUAGAUACCCUGGUAGUCCACGCCGUA